GACAGAGGCCCCAAGCGUUAGGCGGAAUCACUGGGCUUAAAGCGCGUGUAGGCGGCUUGUUAAGUCGGGUGUGAAAGCCCUCAGCUCAACUGAGGAAGUGCGCCCGAAACUGGCGAGCUUGAGUGUCGGAGAGGAUGGCGGAAUACCCCAAGUAGAGGUGAAAUUCGUAGAUAUGGGGUGGAACACCGGUGGCGAAGGCGGCCAUCUGGACGACAACUGACGCUGAGACGCGAAAGCGUGGGGAGCAAACAGG
rnacentral:rRNA from 1 species